rnacentral:lncRNA from 1 species
ACAUAAUCUCGAAAGUAGUGAUACAUAAGUGCGAUCAUGUCAUGUCUCGAAUAAGUGCAACUGCAUGGUCAUGGCACAGCCACAAGUUUCAUCAUCUCUAUCUACAACAUGAUGUAGAAGAGAAGAGCGAUCAGCAUGAGAAAGAGCGCGACUAUCUAGUACAAGCGGUCCCGCCCCUGCUCAUGCUGGAGUGUCCACCUCUAG